rnacentral:rRNA from 1 species
AGCAGCCGCGGUAAUUCCAGCUCCAAUAGCGUAUAUUAAAGUUGUUGCAGUUAAAAAGCUCGUAGUUGAAUUUCGGGAUCAAUAUGUUGGUCGUGCCUUGGUACGUACUAGUUUAUUGGUUUCUUCCUUCUGACGAACCAUGAUGUCAUUAAUUUGGUGUCUUGGGGAAUCAGGACUGUUACUUUGAAAAAUUAGAGUGUUUAAAGCAGGCUCACGCUUGAAUACAUUAGCAUGGAAUAAUGAAAUAGGACGUUUGAUUCUAUUUUGUUGGUUUCUAGGAUCGACGUAAUGAUUAAUAGGGAUAGUUGGGGGCAUUAGUAUUCAAUUGUCAGAGGUGAAAUUCUUGGAUUUAUUGAAGACUAACUACUGCGAAAGCAUUUGCCAAGGAUGUUUUCAUUAAUCAAGAACGAAAGUUAGGGGAUCGAAGACGAUCAGAUACCGUCGUAGUCU